AGCGAAAUUCCUUGGCCAUUAAAUGUGGUCCUGCAUCAAUAGAGUAAUGAUGGCUUUGCUGUCUCACCUAGUAUCUCAGUGAAAUUGAAUUAACCGUGAAGAUGCGGUUUACGCUCGGGUAGACGGGAAGACCCUAUGCAG
rnacentral:rRNA from 1 species